GACGAACGCUGGCGGCGUGCUUAACACAUGCAAGUCGAACGGAGGAUUUAUUUCGGUAAAUCCUUAGUGGCGAACGGGUGAGUAACGCGUGGGCAAUCUGCCCUUCAGAUGGGGACAACAUCCCGAAAGGGGUGCUAAUACCGAAUACGAUCACGCUGCCGCAUGGCGGUGUGAUGAAAGAUGGCCUCUAUUUAUAAGCUAUCGCUGAAGGAUGAGCCUGCGUCUGAUUAGCUAGUUGGUGGGGUAACGGCCUACCAAGGCGAUGAUCAGUAGCCGGUCUGAGAGGAUGAACGGCCACAUUGGGACUGAGACACGGCCCAAACUCCUACGGGAGGCAGCAGUGGGGAAUAUUCCGCAAUGGACGAAAGUCUGACGGAGCAACGCCGCGUGAGUGAUGAAGGUUUUCGGACUGUAAAGCUCUGUUGUUUAGGACGAAAGUGCCUGUUGCAAAUAGUUACAGGUAUUGACGGUACUGAACGAGGAAGCCACGGCUAACUACGUGCCAGCCGCCGCGGUAACAC
rnacentral:rRNA from 1 species